UACAGAGGGUGCAAGCGUUAAUCGGAAUUACUGGGCGUAAAGCGUGCGUAGACGGUUGCGUAAGUCAGAUGUGAAAGCCCCGGGCUCAACCUGGGAAUUGCAUUUGAGACUGCGUAGCUAGGGUGCGGAAGAGGGAAGCGGAAUUUCCGGUGUAGCGGUGAAAUGCGUAGAUAUCGGAAGGAACACCAGUGGCGAAAGCGGCUUCCUGGUCCAGCACCGACGUCAGGCACGAAAGCGUGGGGAGCAAACAGG
rnacentral:rRNA from 1 species